rnacentral:rRNA from 2 species
UUUAAUUGAAGAGUUUGAUCAUGGCUCAGAUUGAACGCUGGCGGCAGGCCUAACACAUGCAAGUCGAGCGGCAGCACAAGGGAGUU